rnacentral:rRNA from 1 species
UAACACGUAGUCAACAUGCCCAGGGGACGUGGAUAACCUCGGGAAACUGAGGAUAAACCGCGAUAGGUCAUCACUUCUGGAAUGGGUAAUGACUUAAAUCUAUAUGGCCCCUGGAUUGGACUGCGGCCGAUCAGGCUGUUGGUGAGGUAAUGGCCCACCAAACCUGUAACCGGUACGGGCUCUGAGAGGAGGAGCCCGGAUAUGGGCACUGAGACAAGGGCCCAGGCCCUAUGGGGCGCAGCAGGCGCGAAACCUCUGCAAUAGGCGAAAGCUUGACAGGGUUACUCUGAGUGAUUUCCGUUAAGGAGAUCUUUUGGCACCUCUAAAAAUGGUGCAGAAUAAGGGGUGGGCAAGUCUGGUGUCAGCCGCCGCGGUAAUACCAGCACCCCGAGUGGUCGGGACGUUUAUUGGGCCUAAAGCAUCCGUAGCCGGUUCUACAAGUCUUCCGUUAAAUCCACCUGCUUAACAGAUGGGCUGCGGAAGAUACUAUAGAGCUAGGAGGCGGGAGAGGCAAGCGGUACUCGAUGGGUAGGGGUAAAAUCCGUUGAUCCAUUGAAGACCACCAGUGGCGAAGGCGGCUUGCCAGAACGCGCUCGACGGUGAGGGAUGAAAGCUGGGGGAGCAAACCGGAUUAGAUACCCGGGUAGUCCCAGCUGUAAACGAUGCAGACUCGGUGAUGAGUUGGCUUAUUGCUAACUCAGUGCCGCAGGGAAGCCGUUAAGUUUGCCGCCUGGGGAGUACGGUCGCAAGACUGAAACUUAAAGGAAUUGGCGGGG